GGUGUUGGUCGAUUAAGACAGC
rnacentral:siRNA from 1 species